UUGGGGUUGCGGACAUAUCAUAACGAAGAGGUAUCGUAAUUGAAGAGGUUUGGAAAGACCCACCACAGAAGGUAAUAGUCCUGUAUGUUAAACGAGAAGACUUUAGAUAUGAUCCAGAGUACCACGGGACACGUGAAACCCUGUGGGAAGCAGGAGGGACCACCCUCCAAGGCUAAAUACUACCUAGUGACCGAUAGCGUAUAGUACCGUGAGGGAAAGGUGAAAAGAACCCCGGGAGGGGAGUGAAAUAGAACCUGAAACCCUGCACUUACAAGCUGUGGAAGCACAUUUCUUGUGUGACCGCGUACUUUUUGUAGAACGGGCCAACGAGUUACGUUAAGUAGCAAGGUUAAGCACUUAAGGUGCGGAGCCGUAGCGAAAGCGAGUUUUAACUGAGCGUUCAGUUACUUGACGUAGACCCGAAACCGGGCGACCUACCCAUGAGCAGGAUGAAGCGAAAGUAAAAUUUCGUGGAGGUCCGAACCCACGAGCGUUGAAAAGCUCGGGGAUGACUUGUGGGUAGCGGUGAAAUUCCAAUCGAGCCCGGAGAUAGCUGGUUCUCCCCGAAAUAGCUUUAGGGCUAGCCUCAAGGUGAGAGAUACGGAGGUAGAGCACUGAAUGUCCUAGGGGGUAUUGCACCUACCGAAGACUAUCAAACUCCGAAUGCCGUCAUCUUAUACUUGGGAGUCAGACUGUGGGUGAUAAGAUUCAUAGUCGAAAGGGCAACAGCCCAGAUCGUCAGCUAAGGUCCCUAAAUGUAAGUUAAGUGGUAAAGGAUGUGGGAUUGCACAGACAACCAGGAUGUUGGCUUAGAAGCAGCCACUCAUUCAAAGAGUGCGUAAUAGCUCACUGGUCGAGUGAUCCUGCGCCGAAGAUUUCCGGGGCUAAAACUUACUACCGAAGCUACGGCAUCAGUAAUGAUGGGUAGGGGAGCUUCCCAUACGGGUUGAAGCAUGACCGUAAGGACAUGUGGACAGUAUGGGAGUGAGAAUGUUGGCAUGAGUAGCGAGAUGUGGGUGAGAAUCCCACAGGCCGUAAACCCAAGG
rnacentral:rRNA from 1 species